GCUCUGAUGGCUCAGUGGUUAGAGCGUCUGCCUAUGAUGCAGCAGGUCGCAGGUUUAAACCCCAACCGAGUCAUACCA